GAUGCUUUGGCUGCCUUUCUCUUCCAUCUGCUUUUAAUUUUGGUAGGAGAAAAGCUAAUGAAUCAGGAAUGAAUCUCCUUUCCACUAAUCUCUCUCUCUCAAAGUUGGCGCGCUCUCUUCACAAGUUCCAUCACUACCCAAGUGAGGGGGCGGGACAGGCGGGAAGGCAUUAAUUACACCUAAAUCUGAAGUCUGCGGCCUCAGGUACCACUUUGAAAGAGAGUUUCUGAAGCUUCCAUACAACCUGCUGUGCGUUUGCUGCUGCCGCUGUAGAUUUUCAGCUCUUUUCUUUCUGCUGCUGCUUCGCGCUUCUCUGGCAUGUCUAAAUCUAUCUCAUCACUGCCAAAGAUGCCCGAAUCAAGGUGAAUUCCACGAGAUUCACCAGCUGUUUUGCUCCCGUCCAAGGAGGAGGCGCGCAGCCCAGUUCCCCAGUCUCUUCUUAAAUCCCUCUACCUACGGCAGCCGAGGUUGGCCGCGCGGCAAGAGUCCCCCGACAGUCCUGGCCCUUCCCCGCCCCCCGGUUGGUUUUUCCCAGCUGCGGAGGUUGGGAGGUUGGGCCAGGGGCUGCGGUGCAAGGAGAAUCUGCGCCCGCAGCGCGGAGCCGGAAAGUCGUCGCGACUCUGGUGGAACUCGGAGUUGCCUCUGGAGGCGGCGGCGCGGAGGUCCCUCAGAGGAUCCAGCGAGGGGCGCCAUCGAGAGGCGAGGAAGUGCCACCGGGGCAGCGGCAGGAAGAGGUGCGGGAGCAGGAGCGCCCAGCCGAGCGUCCCGACCCGCCGCCUUGCGUACUUUCUGGAGGGAGGGAGCGGGGAACCGGCCCGGAGGGGAGCGCCCCGUGGCGAGGGGCUUAGCCAAGUUCCGGUUGCGGCGCCCUUCCCUCGCUCCCACGAGAGGAAAGUUUUCUCCUGUGGUUUCCGCUGGCUCGCGCUCUCCCGGCCCAGUCUCCCGAACCUUCGGGGCGGGCGCCGUCCCAGCCCAGCU
rnacentral:lncRNA from 1 species